rnacentral:rRNA from 1 species
AUGAACGCUAGCGACAGGCCUAACACAUGCAAGUCGAGGGCAGCACAAGGAGCAAUCUGAGGUGGCGACCGGCGCACGGGUGAGUAACACGUAUGCAACCUGCCUGUAAGCGGGGAAUAACCCGUUGAAAGACGGACUAAUACCGCAUAAUACUAAAUUACUGCAUGGGUAAUUUAUUUAAACAUUUAUGGCUUACAGAUGGGCAUGCGCAUGAUUAGCUAGUUGGAGAGGUAACGGCUCCCCAAGGCAACGAUCAUUGGGGGUUCUGAGAGGAAGGUCCCCCACACUGGUACUGAGACACGGACCAGACUCCUACGGGAGGCAGCAGUGAGGAAUAUUGGUCAAUGGACGAGAGUCUGAACCAGCCAAGUCGCGUGCAGGAAGGAUGUCCUUAAUGGAUUGUAAACUGCUUUUGCAGGGGAAUAAAGUGCAUCACGUGUGAUGUUUUGUAUGUACUCUGCGAAUAAGGAUCGGCUAACUCCGUGCCAGCAGCUGC